rnacentral:tRNA from 1 species
GGCUCAACGGUAGAGCAACUGAUUUGUAAUCAGUGGGUUGCGGGUUCGAUUCCUGUC